UACGAAGGGGGCUAGCGUUGCUCGGAAUUACUGGGCGUAAAGCGCACGUAGGCGGCUUUCUAAGUCGGGGGUGAAAUCCUGGAGCUCAACUCCAGAACUGCCUUCGAUACUGGAGAGCUUGAGUCCGGGAGAGGUGAGUGGAACUGCGAGUGUAGAGGUGAAAUUCGUAGAUAUUCGCAAGAACACCAGUGGCGAAGGCGGCUCACUGGCCCGGUACUGACGCUGAGGCGCGAAAGCAUGGGGAGCGAACGGG
rnacentral:rRNA from 1 species